rnacentral:rRNA from 1 species
CCUACGGGUGGCAGCAGUGAGGAAUAUUGGUCAAUGGGCGGAAGCCUGAACCAGCCAAGUCGCGUGAGGGAAUAAGGCCCUACGGGUCGUAAACCUCUUUUGCCGGGGAGCAAGGGCGGGGACGUGUCCCGGCCCGGAGAGUACCCGGAGAAAAAGCAUCGGCUAACUCCGUGCCAGCAGCCGCGGUAAUACGGAGGAUGCGAGCGUUAUCCGGAUGUAUUGGGUUUAAAGGGUGCGUAGGCGGGCUUUUAAGUCAGCGGUAAAAAUUCGGGGCUCAACCCCGUCCGGCCGUUGAAACUGGGGGCCUUGAGUGGGCGAGAAGAAGGCGGAAUGCGUGGUGUAGCGGUGAAAUGCAUAGAUAUCACGCAGAACUCCGAUUGCGAAGGCAGCUUACUGAGCCAUAACUGACACUGAAGCACGAAAGCGUGGGGAUCAAACAGGAUUAGAUACCCUAGUAGUC